UACGUAGGGUGCAAGCGUUGUCCGGAAUUAUUGGGCGUAAAGAGCUCGUAGGCGGUUUGUCGCGUCUGCUGUGAAAACCCGAGGCUCAACCUCGGGCCUGCAGUGGGUACGGGCAGACUAGAGUGCGGUAGGGGAGAUUGGAAUUCCUGGUGUAGCGGUGGAAUGCGCAGAUAUCAGGAGGAACACCAGUGGCGAAGGCGGUUGCCUGGGGCUUUGCUGACGCUGAGGCGCGAAAGCGUGGGGAGCGAUCCGG
rnacentral:rRNA from 1 species